rnacentral:rRNA from 1 species
GAAAAGGGGGGGGGAAUACACAUGCAAGUCGAACGGUAACAGGGAGCAGCUUGCUGCUUCGCUGACGAGUGGCGGACGGGUGAGUAAUGUCUGGGAAACUGCCUGAUGGAGGGGGAUAACUACUGGAAACGGUAGCUAAUACCGCAUAACGUCUUCGGACCAAAGUGGGGGACCUUCGGGCCUCAUGCCAUCAGAUGUGCCCAGAUGGGAUUAGCUAGUAGGUGGGGUAACGGCUCACCUAGGCGACGAUCCCUAGCUGGUCUGAGAGGAUGACCAGCCACACUGGAACUGAGACACGGUCCAGACUCCUACGGGAGGCAGCAGUGGGGAAUAUUGCACAAUGGGCGCAAGCCUGAUGCAGCCAUGCCGCGUGUAUGAAGAAGGCCUUCGGGUUGUAAAGUACUUUCAGCGGGGAGGAAGGUGUUGUGGUUAAUAACCACAGCAAUUGACGUUACCCGCAGAAGAAGCACCGGCUAACUCCGUGCCAGCAGCCGCGGUAAUACGGAGGGUGCAAGCGUUAAUCGGAAUUACUGGGCGUAAAGCGCACGCAGGCGGUCUGUUAAGUCAGAUGUGAAAUCCCCGGGCUCAACCUGGGAACUGCAUUUGAAACUGGCAGGCUUGAGUCUCGUAGAGGGGGGUAGAAUUCCAGGUGUAGCGGUGAAAUGCGUAGAGAUCUGGAGGAAUACCGGUGGCGAAGGCGGCCCCCUGGACGAAGACUGACGCUCAGGUGCGAAAGCGUGGGGAGCAAACAGGAUUAGAUACCUUUGGUAGUCCAAAAA